rnacentral:rRNA from 1 species
UGCAUAUCAAAUAAGCGGAGGAAAAGAAACCAACAGGGAUUGCCUUAGUAGCGGCGAGUGAAGCGGCAAAAGCUCAAAUUUGAAAUCUGGCUCUUUCAGAGUCCGAGUUGUAAUUUGAAGAAGGUAUCUUUGGGUCUGGCUCUUGUCUAUGUUUCUUGGAACAGAACGUCACAGAGGGUGAGAAUCCCGUGCGAUGAGAUGAUCCAGGCCUAUGUAAAGUUCCUUCGAAGAGUCGAGUUGUUUGGGAAUGCAGCUCUAAGUGGGUGGUAAAUUCCAUCUAAAGCUAAAUAUUGGCGAGAGACCGAUAGCGAACAAGUACAGUGAUGGAAAGAUGAAAAGAACUUUGAAAAGAGAGUGAAAAAGUACGUGAAAUUGUUGAAAGGGAAGGGCUUGAGAUCAGACUUGGUAUUUUGUAUGUUACUUCUUCGGGGGUGGCCUCUACAGUUUAUCGGGCCAGCAUCAGUUUGGGCGGUAGGAGAAUUGCGUUGGAAUGUGGCACGGCUUCGGUUGUGUGUUAUAGCCUUCGUCGAUACUGCCAGCCUAGACUGAGGACUGCGGUUUAUACCUAGGAUGUUGGCAUAAUGAUCUUAAGUCGCCCGUCUUGAACCACGGACCA